CCGCUCGCCUCCAGAUGUCCGAACGCAGCAUCCUUAGCCGCUUGGCAAGCAAAGGGAAUGAGACUCAGACUGCCCCGGCCUUCCCACCCGGACCAUAUGCCACUCCUCCCACCUUUGGAAGCUCUUUUGGUGCCACUCCUGGUGGGGCACUGCCCACCAUGGGCGCCAACUACAGCCAAA